rnacentral:lncRNA from 7 species
UCCAUACAUCAAUCUCCUCUUUUUUUUGAUAAUUGAUGACAACCAUACAAAGAUAUGAAUUAAAUUUUGAAUCCAAAGCUAGUGCUAUAUACAGAUAUGAAUUACUAACUUGGUUCGAAUUUGUUUUGCUUGUCCAAACCGUUUUAACCAUUUCGGAAAGUUUCACAAAUCCUAUUUGGUAGUAUUAGCUUCCCUCGCAUAUGUGAUGUGUGUCCAAACUUUGAGCCUGUGCAUAUGUUAGAUUUUGAUUUGCGAAAGAAGCAAAUACUACCGGAUUAUGCUAAGGUUUAUGUGAUAUACCUUUGAAGAAAGUAUCCUUACUCGAAUACCACUUGGAAAUUCUCAUCCUUAGCACUUUGGACAGCUACACAUGCUAGAAAUCUUUAUGAGAUCAACAUUAUCGCGAGGGUGUCUAGAUACCGCUUGACAAAUGAAAUAGAUAUUCUUAAGUUUAGAUUACUACUUGGUUUAUGUAUGUUUAUCAAAUUAUCAUGCAUCACAAUGAACAUAUACCACUAGAUGAUAAGUAAGGUACUAAAAGAGUCAACAACAUAUGGAAAUGCAUAUUUCAAAUGCAAGAACCAAGUUCAUCACCGUUUCUCCCCGUAUUUUUUUGUGCUUUCCUUUUGUUAUUGAUUCUUCUUUCCUAUUUCCCUUUUUGCAUAUCAUUAUUUUCUCUCAAUUUUCUCCCCCAAUUUAAACUUCUACCCCUUAGUACUAGUUUUGUAUAUCAAAUUUAAACUUCUUCCUCUUUGUCAUAAAUUACCAUUUAAGGUGGCAGUAGGGUGAAAAGAUGUAACAUGUGAAAAAUAUGGGAGGUUCUAAAGGGGUGGAGAUGAUUUGUGAAAACUUCCUUCAAGACAACAAUUGCCACCAAGAUCAUCUCGAUAC